GCUUGUCUCAAAGAUUAAGCCAUGCAUGUCUUAGUGUAAAUAACUCUUAUGAAACUGCGAAUGGCUCAUUAAAUCAGUUAUCGUUUAUUUGAUGGUCCCUUACUACAUGGAUAACCGUAGUAAUUCUAGAGCUAAUACAUGCAUCAAUACCCAACUGUUCGCGGAAGGGUAGUAUUUAUUAGGUAUAGACCAACCCUCCUCGGAGGUGCUUUGGUGAUUCAUAAUAACUUUCAGAUCGAUCGCAAGAUCGAUGCAUCAUUCAAGUUUCUGCCCUAUCAGCUUUGGAUGGUAGGGUAUUGGCCUACCAUGGCUUUAACGGGUAACGGAGAAUUAGGGUUCGAUUCCGGAGAGGGAGCCUGAGAAACGGCUACCACAUCCAAGGAAGGCAGCAGG
rnacentral:rRNA from 1 species